UACAGAGGUCUCAAGCGUUGUUCGGAUUCAUUGGGCGUAAAGGGUGCGUAGGGUUGGCGGCCGUAAGUCGGGUGGUGAAAUUUACGGAGCUUAACUCCGAAACUGCAUUCGAUACUGCGGUGCUUGAGGACUGGAGAGGAGACUGGAAUUCAUGGUGUAGCAGUGAAAUGCGUAGAGAUCAAUGAGGAAGACCAGUGGCGAAGGCGGGUCUCUGGACAGUUCCUGACACUGAGGCACGAAGGCCGGGGAGCAAACGGG
rnacentral:rRNA from 1 species